ACAUGCAAGUCGAGCGGGAGUUGAUCAGAAGCUUGCUUCUUUGAUGCUUAGCGGCGGACGGGUGAGUAACACGUAGGCAACCUGCCCUCAAGUUUGGGACAACUACCGGAAACGGUAGCUAAUACCGAAUAGUUGUUUUCUUCGCCUGAAGGAAACUGGAAAGACGGAGCAAUCUGUCACUUGGGGAUGGGCCUGCGGCGCAUUAGCUAGUUGGUGGGGUAACGGCUCACCAAGGCGACGAUGCGUAGCCGACCUGAGAGGGUGAUCGGCCACACUGGGACUGAGACACGGCCCAGACUCCUACGGGAGGCAGCAGUAGGGAAUCUUCCGCAAUGGGCGAAAGCCUGACGGAGCAAUGCCGCGUGAGUGAUGAAGGUUUUCGGAUCGUAAAGCUCUGUUGCCAGGGAAGAACGCUUGGGAGAGUAACUGCUCUCANGGUGACGGUACCUGAGAAGAAAGCCCCGGCUAACUACGUGCCAGCAGCCGCGGUAAUACGUAGGGGGCAAGCGUUGUCCGGAAUUAUUGGGCGUAAAGCGCGCGCACGCGGAUCAUUUAAGUCUGGUGUUUAAUCCC
rnacentral:rRNA from 1 species